GGCCAGCAGCCGCGGUAAUACGUAGGUGGCAAGCGUUGUCCGGAAUUACUGGGCGUAAAGAGCGCGUAGGCGGGGAUUUAAGUCAGGAGUGAAAACUACCGGCUCAACCGGUAGCCUGCUCUUGAAACUGAAUUUCUUGAGGGUAUGAGAGGAAAGCGGAAUUCCCAGUGUAGCGGUGAAAUGCGUAGAUAUUGGGAGGAACACCAGUGGCGAAGGCGGCUUUCUGGCAUACAACUGACGCUGAGGCGCGAAAGCGUGGGGAGCAAACGGGAUUAGAUACCCCGGUAGUCCACGCCGUAAACGAUGGGCACUAGGUGUAGGAGGUAUCGACCCCUUCUGUGCCGUAGUUAACACAAUAAGUGCCCCGCCUGGGGAGUACGGCCGCAAGGUUGAAACUCAAAGGAAUUGACGGGGGCCCGCACAAGU
rnacentral:rRNA from 1 species